rnacentral:rRNA from 1 species
AUGAACGCUGGCGGCGUGCCUAAUACAUGCAAGUCGAGCGAACGGACGAGAAGCUUGCUUCUCUGAUGUUAGCGGCGGACGGGUGAGUAACACGUGGAUAACCUACCUAUAAGACUGGGAUAACUUCGGGAAACCGUAGCUAAUACCGGAUGAUAUUUUGAACCGCAUGGUUCAAAAGUGAAAGACGGUCUUGCUGUCACUUAUAGAUGGAUCCGCGCUGCAUUAGCUAGUUGGUAAGGUAACGGCUUACCAAGGCAGCGAUGCAUAGCCGACCUGAGAGGGUGAUCGGCCACACUGGAACUGAGACACGGUCCAGACUCCUACGGGAGGCAGCAGUAGGGAAUCUUCCGCAAUGGGCGAAAGCCUGACGGAGCAACGCCGCGUGAGUGAUGAAGGUCUUCGGAUCGUAAAACUCUGUUAUUAGGGAAGAACAUAUGUGUAAGUAACUGUGCACAUCUUGACGGUACCUAAUCAGAAAGCCACGGCUAACUACGUG